UACAGGGGGUGCAAACGUUGCUCGGAAUCAUUGGGCGUAAAGCGCACGUAGGCGGUUCGUUAUGUCGGAUGUGAAAGCCCUUGGCUUAACCGAGGAAGUGCAUUCGAAACUGGCGAGCUAGAGUACUAAAGAGGAUCGCGGAAUUCCCGGUGUAGAGGUGAAAUUCGUAGAUAUCGGGAGGAACACCGGUGGCGAAGGCGGCGAUCUGGGUAGAUACUGACGCUGAGGAACGAAAGCCAGGGGAGCAAACGGG
rnacentral:rRNA from 1 species